UAGCAAUAUGUGGCAUACGGCUCAGUAACACGUAGUCAACAUGCCCAGGGGACGUGGAUAACCUCGGGAAACUGAGGAUAAACCGCGAUAGGUCAUCACUUCUGGAAUGGGUAAUGACUUAAACCUAUAUGGCCCCUGGAUUGGACUGCGGCCGAUCAGGCUGUUGGUGAGGUAAUGGCCCACCAAACCUGUAACCGGUACGGGCUCUGAGAGGAGGAGCCCGGAGAUGGGCACUGAGACAAGGGCCCAGGCCCUAUGGGGCGCAGCAGGCGCGAAACCUCUGCAAUAGGCGAAAGCUUGACAGGGUUACUCUGAGUGAUUUCCGUUAAGGAGAUCUUUUGGCACCUCUAAAAAUGGUGCAGAAUAAGGGGUGGGCAAGUCUGGUGUCAGCCGCCGCGGUAAUACCAGCACCCCGAGUGGUCGGGACGUUUAUUGGGCCUAAAGCAUCCGUAGCCGGUUCCACAAGUCUUCCGUUAAAUCCACCUGCUCAACAGAUGGGCUGCGGAAGAUACUAUGGAGCUAGGAGGCGGGAGAGGCAAGCGGUACUCGAUGGGUAGGGGUAAAAUCCGUUGAUCCAUUGAAGACCACCAGUGGCGAAGGCGGCUUGCCAGAACGCGCUCGACGGUGAGGGAUGAAAGCUGGGGGAGCAAA
rnacentral:rRNA from 1 species